rnacentral:misc_RNA from 1 species
UACGGAGGGUGCAAGCGUUAAUCGGAAUUACUGGGCGUAAAGCGCGCGUAGGUGGUUUGUUAAGUGAGAUGUGAAAGCCCAGGGCUCAACCUUGGAACUGCAUCUCAUACUGGCAGGCUAGAGUACGGUAGAGGGAGGUAGAAUUCCACGUGUAGCGGUGAAAUGCGUAGAGAUGUGGAGGAAUACCAGUGGCGAAGGCGGCCUCCUGGACUGAUACUGACACUGAGGUGCGAAAGCGUGGGGAGCAAACAGG